CGAAAGAUGGUGAACUAUGCCU
rnacentral:ncRNA from 4 species